GCGCAUCCCUGGUGUUAGGGGCUACUGGUUUCGGCUCCGCCAGACCUAGGAGACAGGUGAAGCCACCUGGGAGUUUGUUAGCAAAAGCAGCUAGCUCAGGAAAGGUCACGCUUGUCUCAGGCGUCCGGAGAGAGGGCAGCCACCUGCCGCCCCGGGGACCGGGAGCAGUGGCCCAGGAGGUUGUGCUUUCUUAAAGGGAAUUCCAUGUAAGAAAAGGCUUCUGUGAGAAAGCAUGAGAGCUCUCUGGGGCUUUUUCUGAUGUAUCGCUGACAGUGAAGAGGACAAGAUGGUGACUUGUCAUAAACAGAAAACUAAAAUGACAAUAUUUACCGCCACCAAGGCAGAAGUCCACGUUGAAAGGAGUAUUUCCAGUCCAGCAAGCUCUCCAUGUCUGCAUUCAGGUUUCCAUGAAGUUAUGAAUGAAAAUUUUAGAAGAAGAGCAUCUGAAUCAGAAUAAAGCAUUCUUUCUUUGGGACAGGUAGAAUCACAUUGACAUACACCUAUGAAUCCACAUGUAGAAGUUCUGAAUUUCCCUGCUCCAUUGUGAACGUAUCCAAUAAAAAGGAGUGCUCAAGUACA